GACGAACGCUGGCGGCGUGCUUAACACAUGCAAGUCGAACGAAGUGGCGAACGGGUGUGUAACGCGUAAUCAACCUGCCCUUCAGAGGGGGACAACAGUUGGAAACGACUGCUAAUACCUCAUACUUAAGCAGGGGUUUGCGUCUGAUUAGCUAGUUGGGGGGGAAACGGCCCACCAUGGCGAUGAUCAGUAGGCGGUCUGAGAGGAUGAACGGGCAAAUUGGUACGGGGACAGGGCCCAGACUCCUACGGGAGGGAGCAGGGGGGAAUCAUCCGCAAUGGAAGAAAGUCUGACGGAGCAAGGCCGCGUGAGUGAUGACGGCCUUCGGGUUGUAAAGCUAUGUUAAUCGGGACGCGGUACCGGAAUAGAAAGCCACGGCUAACUACGUGCCAGCCGCCGCGGUAAUAC
rnacentral:rRNA from 1 species